CGGGUGAGUAACACGUGGGCAACCUGCCCUGAAGCGGGGGAUAACAUCUGGAAACAGGUGCUAAUACCGCAUAACAACGAAAACCACAUGGUUUUCGUUUCAAAGAUGGUUUCGGCUAUCACUUCAGGAUGGGCCCGCGGUGCAUUAGCUAGUUGGUAAGGUAACGGCUUACCAAGGCGAUGAUGCAUAGCCGAGUUGAGAGACUGAUCGGCCACAAUGGAACUGAGACACGGUCCAUACUCCUACGGGAGGCAGCAGGG
rnacentral:rRNA from 1 species